ACAGUUCCCUCGCCUGUGGACAUAUUUUUGGGAGAUCAUGUGUAACACAAAUGGAUUAUAAGGACUGGAACUUCCACUAAGUCUCCAGUAUGUUCAAGGAGCGCCUCUUUGAAAGAUAUGAUAGAUCUUCAUUGUGCACCCCGAAUAGCGAAUAGCGAGGUUGGAAUGAAAUUUGUUAAGCCAAGCUCAUCUACAUAUUUGUACAUAUUUGAGUAGAUUCUAUUUCAAUUUUGAAAAUCUAAAUGAUUAGAUUGUGCUAUAAGUGGGCCAUCUCAGCCUCUUCAAGGCUUUGAUUUGAGUUUUUUAUGCAUUUUACUUA